GGGUUGUGAGGUUAAGCGAAUAAGCGUACACGGUGGAUGCCUAGGCAAUCAGAGGCGAUGAAGGACGUGCUAAUCUGCGAAAAGCGUCGGUAAGGUGAUAUGAACCGCUAUACCCGACGAUAUCCGAAUGGGGAAACCCAGUAUCCAAUGGAUACUAUCAUUAACUGAAUCCAUAGGUUAAUGAGGCGAACCGGGAGAACUGAAACAUCUCAGUACCCCGAGGAAAAGAAAUCAACCGAGAUUCCCCUAGUAGCGGCGAGCGAACGGGGAGCAGCCCAGAGUCUUAAUCAAUAGCAGUGUCAGGAGAACGGUCUGGAAAGUCCGGCAGUAAAGGGUGAUAGCCCCGUAUCUGAAGAUGCUGUUGUUGUGAACUCGACGAGUAGGGCGGGACACGUGUUAUCCUGUCUGAAUAUGGGGGGACCAUCCUCCAAGGCUAAAUACUCCUGAUUGACCGAUAGUGAACCAGUACCGUGAGGGAAAGGCGAAAAGAACCCCGGCGAGGGGAGUGAAAAAGAACCUGAAACCGUGUACGUACAAGCAGUAGGAGCCUCUUUAUGGGGUGACUGCGUACCUUUUGUAUAAUGGGUCAGCGACUUAUAUUCUGUAGCAAGGUUAACCGUAUAGGGGAGCCGUAGGGAAACCGAGUCUUAACUGGGCGAAUGAGUUGCAGGGUAUAGACCCGAAACCCGGUGAUCUAUCCAUGGGCAGGUUGAAGGUUGGGUAACACUAACUGGAGGACCGAACCGACUAAUGUUGAAAAAUUAGCGGAUGACUUGUGGAUGGGGGUGAAAGGCCAAUCAAACCGGGAGAUAGCUGGUUCUCCCCGAAAGCUAUUUAGGUAGCGCCUCGUGAAUUCAUCUUCGGGGGUAGAGCACUGUUUCGACUAGGGGGUCAUCCCGACUUACCAACUCGAUGCAAACUGCGAAUACCGAAGAAUGUUAUCACGGGAGACACACGGCGGGUGCUAACGUCCGUCGUGAAGAGGGAAACAACCCAGACCGCCAGCUAAGGUCCCAAAGUCAUGGUUAAGUGGGAAACGAAGUGGGAAGGCUCAGACAGCCAGGAUGUUGGCUUAGAAGCAGCCAUCAUUUAAAGAAAGCGUAAUAGCUCACUGGUCGAGUCGGCCCGCGCGGAAGAUGUAACGGGGCUAAACCAUGCACCGAAGCUGCGGCAGCGACACAUAGUGUUGUUGGGUAGGGGAGCGUUCUGUAAGCCUGCGAAGGUGUACUGUGAGGUAUGCUGGAGGUAUCAGAAGUGCGAAUGCUGACAUAAGUAACGAUAAUGCGGGUGAAAAACCCGCACGCCGGAAGACCAAGGGUUCCUGUCCAACGUUAAUCGGGGCAGGGUGAGUCGACCCCUAAGGCGAGGCUGAAAAGCGUAGUCGAUGGGAAACGGGUUAAUAUUCCCGUACUGGUGGUAACUGCGAUGGGGGAACGGAGAAGGCUAGGUUGUCCGGGCGACGGUCGUCCCGGUUCAAGCAGGUAGGCAGAGUGAUUAGGCAAAUCCGGUCACUUAAUGCUGAGAUGUGAUGACGAACCACCAAGGUGGUGAAGCAAUUGAUGCCCCGCUUCCAGGAAAAGCCUCUAAGCUUCAGGUUACCAACAAUCGUACCCCAAACCGACACAGGUGGUCAGGUAGAGAAUACUCAGGCGCUUGAGAGAACUCGGGUGAAGGAACUAGGCAAAAUGGUGCCGUAACUUCGGGAGAAGGCACGCUGGCGGUAGGUAAAGUCCCUCGCGGACGGCGCUGAAGCCAGUCGAAGAUACCAGCUGGCUGCAACUGUUUAUUAAAAACACAGCACUGUGCAAACACGAAAGUGGACGUAUACGGUGUGACGCCUGCCCGGUGCUGGAAGGUUAAUUGAUGGGGUUAGCGUAAGCGAAGCUCCUGAUCGAAGCCCCAGUAAACGGCGGCCGUAACUAUAACGGUCCUAAGGUAGCGAAAUUCCUUGUCGGGUAAGUUCCGACCUGCACGAAUGGCGUAAUGAUGGCCAGGCUGUCUCCACCCGAGACUCAGUGAAAUUGAACUCGCUGUGAAGAUGCAGUGUACCCGCGGCAAGACGGAAAGACCCCGUGAACCUUUACUAUAGCUUGACACUGAACAUUGAGCCUUGAUGUGUAGGAUAGGUGGGAGGCUUUGAAGUGUGGACGCCAGUCUGCAUGGAGCCAACCUUGAAAUACCACCCUUUAACGUUUGAUGUUCUAACCUAGGCCCAUAAACUGGGUCGGGGACCGUGUCUGGUGGGUAGUUUGACUGGGGCGGUCUCCUCCUAAAGAGUAACGGAGGAGCACGAAGGUUGGCUAAGCAUGGUCGGACAUCAUGCGGUUAGUGCAAAGGCAUAAGCCAGCUUGACUGCGAGAGUGACGGCUCGAGCAGGUACGAAAGUAGGUCUUAGUGAUCCGGUGGUUCUGAAUGGAAGGGCCAUCGCUCAACGGAUAAAAGGUACUCCGGGGAUAACAGGCUGAUACCGCCCAAGAGUUCAUAUCGACGGCGGUGUUUGGCACCUCGAUGUCGGCUCAUCACAUCCUGGGGCUGAAGUAGGUCCCAAGGGUAUGGCUGUUCGCCAUUUAAAGUGGUACGCGAGCUGGGUUUAGAACGUCGUGAGACAGUUCGGUCCCUAUCUGCCGUGGGCGUUGGAAGAUUGAGAGGGGUUGCUCCUAGUACGAGAGGACCGGAGUGAACGCACCACUGGUGUUCGGGUUGUCAUGCCAAUGGCAUUGCCCGGUAGCUAAGUGCGGAAGAGAUAACCGCUGAAAGCAUCUAAGCGGGAAACUUGCCUCGAGAUGAGUCUUCCCUGUCGCUUUAAGCGACCUAAAGGAACGUUUAAGACUAAGACGUUGAUAGGCUGGGUGUGUAAGCGUAGCGAUACGUUGAGCUAACCAGUACUAAUGAACCGUGAGGCUUAACCUGACAACACCGAAGGUGUUU
rnacentral:rRNA from 1 species